AUCGCUUGACAGCUCUAAAAAAAACACAUACAAGUAUUGGUCUGACUGUUAGGGUUACCACAUGUAUGGCUUCCCCAAGGACCAAGAGCGCAGGAAGAAAUGGAUGGCAAUGGUCAGCCGUCAAAACGUACAAGUGACAGGGGUCAGCAACAGUCAAAAACUAUGUAAUUCCCAACAGUUUUCAUUCAUCGCCCUAAGCCGAAGAGGAGGAAAUCCCCUUCUGUGAGGGUGCCUCCAGAACCAAGUGCAACGGACCACACAUAUUGCGCCAAAUUAUACUUCGGUGUGAUCCAUGCAGCUAACAAUAUUCCCCAUUUCAUCUAAUUCAAGGAUAGACUACACUCCUAAUGAGAUUACAUAAUUCAGGGGUAAACGGUGAAGGAAUAACUUUUCCAGGACCAGCUGCUCCGGGGACCAGACUGCCAGGGACUGAUGGGGCGACUGUGGAGGACCUAAUAAGGCAACUAAAAAAGGAAAAAUUAAUGAGAAGGAGAGCAGAGAGGGCUCUUG